rnacentral:tRNA from 1 species
CAUUAGAUGGCUGAAUAAUAAGCAUUGACCUCUUAAGUCAACUCAUAGUAAUAACUUCUAAUGA